UCCCAGUGAAGAAACAUUCAAACAUUACCUCCUGUCCUAGUCCCAGAGCCUGUAAGGUGAACCCACUAGAGCUGGCUAGAGGAGAAUAGGAAAGUUCACUCCAGAAGGAACUGAGGGAU